rnacentral:rRNA from 1 species
GAAACGGUGGCUAAUACCGGAUAUGCCGAAAGGUGAAAGGUUAACUGCCUGGAGAUGAGCUCGCGUCUGAUUAGCUAGUUGGUAGGGUAAAAGCUUACCAAGGCGACGAUCAGUAGCUGGUCUGAGAGGACGAUCAGCCACACUGGGACUGAGACACGGCCCAGACUCCUACGGGAGGCAGCAGUGGGGAAUUUUCCGCAAUGGGCGAAAGCCUGACGGAGCAAUACCGCGUGAGGGAGGAAGGCUCUUGGGUUGUAAACCUCUUUUCUCAAGGAAGAAUAAUGACGGUACUUGAGGAAUAAGCAUCGGCUAACUCCGUGCCAGCAGCCGCGGUAAUACGGAGGAUGCAAGCGUUAUCCGGAAUGAUUGGGCGUAAAGCGUUCGCAGGUGGCAUUGAAAGUCUGCUGUCAAAGAGUCUGGCUCAACCAGAUACAGGCAGUGGAAACUUCAAAGCUAGAGUGCGGUAGGGGCAGAGGGAAUUCCUGGUGUAGCGGUGAAAUGCGUAGAGUUCAGGAAGAACACCGGUGGCGAAAGCGCUCUGCUAGGCCGCAACUGACACUGAGGGACGAAAGC